rnacentral:rRNA from 1 species
AGAGUUUGAUCAUGGCUCAGAACGAACGCUGGCGGCGUGCUUAACACAUGCAAGUCGAACGCGAAAGUUUUCUUCGGAAAGCGAGUAGAGUGGCGCACGGGUGAGUAACGCGUAAGUAAUCUACCCUGGUAUCCGGGAUAACCCACCGAAAGGUGUGCUAAUACCGGAUACGCUGAUUUAUCAGGAAAGGUGGCCUCUUCAUGAAAGCUACUGUACUGGGAGGAGCUUGCGUACCAUUAGCUAGUUGGUAGGGUAAUGGCCUACCAAGGCGACGAUGGUUAGCGGGUCUGAGAGGAUGAUCCGCCACACUGGAACUGGAACACGGACCAGACUCCUACGGGAGGCAGCAGUGAGGAAUAUUGCGCAAUGGGGGAAACCCUGACGCAGCGACGCCGCGUGGAUGAUGAAGGCCUUCGGGUCGUAAAAUCCUGUCAGAUGGAAAGAAGUGCAUGGUAGCUAAUAUCUGCCGUGUUUGACGGUACCAUCAAAGGAAGCACCGGCUAACUCCGUGCCAGCAGCCGCGGUAAUACGGAGGGUGCAAGCGUUGUUCGGAAUUACUGGGCGUAAAGCGCGCGUAGGCGGCUAUUUAAGUCAGAUGUGAAAGUCCACGGCUCAACCGUGGAAGUGCAUUUGAAACUGGAUGGCUUGAGUACUGGAGGUCGAGAGAGGUGAGUGGAAUUCCGAGUGUAGAGGUGAAAUUCGUAGAUAUUCGGAGGAACACCAGUGGCGAAGGCGGCUCACUGGCUCGAUACUGACGCUGAGGUGCGAAAGCGUGGGGAGCAAACAGGAUUAGAUACCCUAGUAGUCC